rnacentral:misc_RNA from 1 species
UUAAAAAAAAAAUUAAAAAAAAAAGUAUCGGACUUAAGAAGUAGUAACCUAUUUCUCAAAGCAUGUAACACCCCUAUAUUCGGUAGUGCGUUCUACUGUUUCGGUGACCAGUGUCUGUCCGGAUAGCUAGAAUGCCUGGAACUACACUUAAAUGUUUGUGAGGAAACAUAAAAUAAUGAAUAUAAUAGAGAAAAAUACAAGAAAAAUAAAGAAAAAAUAAGAGCAAUGAAAUGUGAUUAAGUUAAACGAGCCAAAAACUGUAGCGAUAGGUGACCGCACCGGAAAGUUACGACGUGGACCGUUGACUAGCCCUAGACUGCAGCGAAUCCUAGAAAAUAUUUUUAAGACUUAAAUAAACAUCUAUUAAAGUAUAAAUGACAUUAAAAAUGUCAAAG